GACGAACCACACAAACGUUAUUCGGAAUCACUGGGCUUAAAGGGUGCGUAGGCGGUGCGGAAAGUUGGGUGUGAAAUACCUCGGCUCAACCGAGGAAUGGCGCUCAAAACUACCGUGCUCGAGGGAGACAGAGGUAAGCGGAACUUAGGGUGGAGCGGUGAAAUGCGUUGAUAUCCUAAGGAACACCGGUGGCGAAAGCGGCUUACUGGGUCUCUUCUGACGCUGAGGCACGAAAGCCAGGGUAGCGAACGGG
rnacentral:misc_RNA from 1 species